GAACGCAUACUUUAGAGUAUGAGUGGCAGACGGGUGAGUAACGCGUGAGACAUCUACCUUACAGCCCGGUAUAAAUACCUAUAUAGAGGCGAAAAUCUUUAUAUAUGAGUGAAUCCCGGAUAUUUUGAAUAAAAAAAAAGGCAAAGAACCGUUGUAAGAUGAGCUCGCGUAGGAUUAGGUAGUUGGUAAGGUAAAAGCUUAUCCAAGCCGAUGAUCCUUAGCUGUUCUGAGAGGAUGAUCAGCCACACUGGGACUGAGACACGGCCCAGACGCUUUCGAGCGGCAGCAGUGAGGAAUUUUGGACAAUGGGCGAAAGCCUGAUCCAGCUAUAUCGCAUGAAUGAAGAAGGCUCAAUUGGUUGUAAAAUUCAUAGUUUCAUUGUAGAUUAUGACAUUGAUGAAAUGAAUAGUCCCGGCCAACUCCGUGC
rnacentral:rRNA from 1 species